AGUGAACGCUGGCGGUAGGCCUAACACAUGCAAGUCGAACGGCAGCACAGUAAGAGCUUGCUCUUACGGGUGGCGAGUGGCGGACGGGUGAGGAAUACAUCGGAAUCUACUUUUUCGUGGGGGAUAACGUAGGGAAACUUACGCUAAUACCGCAUACGACCUACGGGUGAAAGCAGGGGAUCUUCGGACCUUUCGCGAUUGAAUGAGCCGAUGUCGGAUUAGCUAGUUGGCGGGGUAAAGGCCCACCAAGGCGACGAUCCGUAGCUGGUCUGAGAGGAUGAUCAGCCACACUGGAACUGAGACACGGUCCAGACUCCUACGGGAGGCAGCAGGGGGGAAUAUUGGACAAUGGGCGCAAGCCUGAUCCAGCCAUACCGCGUGGGUGAAGAAGGCCUUCGGGUUGUAAAGCCCUUUUGUUGGGAAAGAAAAGCAGCAGGUUAAUACCCCGCUGUUCUGACGGUACCCAAAGAAUAAGCACCGGCUAACUUCGUG
rnacentral:rRNA from 1 species